rnacentral:rRNA from 1 species
UACGUAGGGUGCAAGCGUUGUCCGGAAUUAUUGGGCGUAAAGAGCUCGUAGGCGGUCUGUCGCGUCGGCUGUGAAAACUCGGGGCUCAACCCCGAACUUGCAGUGGGUACGGGCAGACUAGAGUGUGGUAGGGGAGACUGGAACUCCUGGUGUAGCGGUGAAAUGCGCAGAUAUCAGGAGGAACACCGAUGGCGAAGGCAGGUCUCUGGGCCAUAACUGACGCUGAGAAGCGAAAGCAUGGGGAGCGAACAGG